rnacentral:misc_RNA from 1 species
CACAACCAACACUUGUACAACAUAUUUAAAAUGUAGAAAUACAAAAUACCUAUAGCUAAAAUGAAAAUUGGGCAGGCAAGCUUACAAUUUAUGGUUCAGGUUGUCACAACACGGCAAAACUGUUUUGCUACGCAUCUUCUCUUUGUAUAACUGAAGGAGUAGGUGGUACUGUUAUCGCAUUUUGACCUCUUGUAUGAGACUCAUCUUCCACGAAGGGUUGCUGUCUAUCAUGAUUAUGAACUUCAUCUGCAAAUCUGCUGGGGUUUGGGGUUCUGCUUUUUAUAAUUGGAAGUGAAGAGGAGUUGUUUGCAAGAGGAGGACCUGAAGUAUUAUAUAGCCCAUCCUCACGAGGCAAUGGUGACAUACUUUCAUCUAGUUUCCUACAAAAUUUAUCUUCCACGAUGUCAUAGGAAUUUCCGGUCCUUACUUCCUGAGCAAGAGAGCACCAACAGCAGAAAAGCCAUAGUGCACAGUCAGCAACAGAAGGUUUACCACAACAAGUAUUGUAAGGAGGCAAAUUGUAUCUUUUUCUCAUCUGAAUCCUCCAAAAGCCACCGUACAGUAACCCAAACAGACAAAGAAAAAUCCCAGUAACUCCUAAUAUCCCCCUGACAGUAUCGCUGUCAAUAUUAACAGCAGCCAAAUUGAAGAUCCAGAAAGGAGCCAUACAGAACAGAAGAAAAGUUGCAAUAUGAACAUACAUAUUUCCAAACCCAAGUCUCUCCAUAUUCCAACCAAAAACACAAAAACUGCAGAACAAAGAGAGAUAUGCCAAAGAAAUAUCAUCCCAAAAAUCAAG